CACGCAGGCGGCUCGAUAAAUUAGAAGUGAAAGCCCCGGGCUUAACCUGGGAAUUGCUUUUAAGACUGUCGAGCUAGAAUCCAGAAGAGGGUAGUGGAAUUCCGAGUGUAGAGGUGAAAUUCGUAGAUAUUCGGAAGAACACCAGUGGCGAAGGCGACUACCUGGUCCGGCAUUGACGCUCAUGUGCGAAAGCGUGGGGAGCAAACAGGAUUAGAUACCCUGGUAGUCCACGCCGUAAACGAUGAGUGCUAGUUGUUGGGGACCAUAGGUCUUCAGUGACGCAGCUAACGCAUUAAGCACUCCGCCUGGGGAGUACGGCCGCAAGGUUAAA
rnacentral:rRNA from 1 species